UGGGGAAUAUUGCGCAAUGGGGGGAACCCUGACGCAGCCAUGCCGCGUGAAUGAAGGAGGCCUUCGGGUUGUAAAGUUCUUUCGGUAUUGAGGAAGGUUGAUGUGUUAAUAGCACAUCAAAUUGACGUUAAAUACAGAAGAAGCACCGGCUAACUCCGUGCCAGCAGCCGCGGUAAUACGGAGGGUGCGAGCGUUAAUCGGAAUAACUGGGCGUAAAGGGCACGCAGGCGGUUAUUUAAGUGAGGUGUGAAAGCCCUGGGCUUAACCUAGGAAUUGCAUUUCAGACUGGGUAACUAGAGUACUUUAGGGAGGGGUAGAAUUCCACGUGUAGCGGUGAAAUGCGUAGAGAUGUGGAGGAAUACCGAAGGCGAAGGCAGCCCCUUGGGAAUGUACUGACGCUCAUGUGCGAAAGCGUGGGGAGCAAACAGGAUUAGAUACCCUGGUAGUCCACGCUGUAAACGCUGUCGAUUUGGGGGUUGGGGUUUAACUCUGGCGCCCGUAGCUAACGUGAUAAAUCGACCGCCUGGGGAGUACGGCCGCAAGGUUA
rnacentral:rRNA from 1 species